AAUACAGGGUUUACAAAGGAUGACAUGACAGAAAUCACAGUACAUCUGUACUAUAGCUGUCUCAUCUGAUCACAUUCUGGGCACUGAGGCGGGGAUCCAUGGUGACUCAAACCGUGCUGUAUUUUAGAUACAGAAUAGUUGGUCAAUAUCAAUGCGGUAUACAGGGCUAAUACCACAGAACGUAUCUAGUGGGUUUGGGAAAUGUAGUAGCUAAAGCCACACACAUUGUUUGGCCUUUGGAAAAAUGGACAAAACUUGGAUCCACCACACAAAAUUAAGGAGGCUCCAUGGUCAAAAAAGAUCUCAUUAGGACUUAUCACAGUCAAAGCAACACACGUUGUAUGGCCCCCGCAGGAAAAUCGCAGGAAAACGCAGGAAAACGUUUGGAGUUCAUCGAGUCACCACCAGAACGAGUCAUCAAAGAAUGCCAACGGCUUAAUAUAUAUAGACUUCUAAGUUUUAAAAUACAAACUAUGAUUUCACUGAUUUUCCUUAAUGUUAUUUUGUGCGGUAAUGUGUGCAAGGUAUUUGUAAUGUUGAUUUAUGUGUGUUAUGUGAGA